rnacentral:lncRNA from 10 species
CCCUUUCACGUUGUGAGUGGCAUCAGGAUGUCUGAGAGGAGAGCAUGGUGUUUUUGCUUCAUUGGAUCCAUGCAGGUCUUGGAGGGUGGUGGCCCACUCUUUCUGGGCCAAGUAGAGGGUGGCUCAGACACCCCCCCUUCCUCCAGGCUUCUCAUCUGUAACUGGUGAAGCCCGGAAGAGCUUGUUGUUCAAGAGGAAAUCUUGUGUUACUUCUUUAUGAAGGACUCCAGCCUGGUGGAGAUGAAUGAGUCCUGAAGAUGGAAUCGAAGCUGUUUGGGCACAAUACUUUAAUCAGCAUUUAAUGACCCAGUCGAAAAUUCAUUGUUUGGACCCAAGCACUGGUGGGAAAGGCAGGAGGGGAGGCCUGCCUUCCUUCCUCCCUCCCGAGCCCUACAGCAGGCCAUGGAGUGGUGAGCGAGUUCGUACAGUGCCAACCACAUUCCCAGAAACUUCCAGCAGAGGUUAAUCCUGCUCCUCUCAGGAAAAAGUGAUUCAGCUCCGGUCCACCCUGGGUGCAGCGGUCCUUCUGCCAAGAUGCCUUCAUAUCAUACAGCUAUUAUUUUCGGGAGGAUUCCAAGUGAGGGCAGUCAGGGUGGGCUUGGCCCAUUCUCUAGACUUUGGAAGGUAAUGUUCUAUAGAGGCCUGUUCUGAAGCUUUACCAGGUCAAACCGGAGAAGAACCCAACAAGUAACUCAUCCCAGCCUAACUAUUCUUCAAGGGCAAUCAACCUACAGCAUCCAAGCACAGAGAAAUCAAAUCCAUGGAGAAUCUUCAAAUUAGGCUCAGAAUCCAUUUGGGUCAAUGAAUUUACUGUUAUUAAGAUCUUAGUUGUGUUCAACCAUGAUUUGACAUACCUUAGAGUGAGAAGAUAUUCUUCCUGGCCUCAGACUAGUUGAAGGUAGAGAGAGAGACAGGCCCUUGGGUGUGGGGAGACCUCUCCUGGGAUAAUACACACAAAAAACCAAGAGCUGCUCACUGUGGUGCAGGAGACAGCAGGGCCUGAAGCCAGAGGCUCUGUGUCCUUGAAUACAAUGUUUUACUCCUCUGACCCCUGUUACUGUGAUUUGGAGAGGCAGACAAUAUAGGAUGGGCUUUGCAGGCAGGGAGGUCCAGUUAUAAUCCCAGCUCUUACUAAGUUGGGUAAGACUCACUCUGAGACUUAGUUUCUUCUGUCAUCUCUCAAUAGAAUCAUAAAGGUACUUUCCUCUUAGUGUUGUUUUAAAAUUCAGUAAAAUAAUGCAGGCUUAGCACAGGGUCUGAUGUAAAUUUUCAAUGAAUUAUCGUUGUCAAUAUUGUUCUGGAAAACAAGAGGGCAUAUUAGAAGAUCAAAAGUACUGCCAAGCAUUGAAGUGCCAAUUCUAGAUCCAGUCUCAGCCCUCUGAGAAUGGAUAUCAUUGUUUUCAAGCCAUUCAGAAACCAAUGUGAAUUGAACACCUAGUAUGAGCUCUCUGAGGGAAGAGCCAAGUCAUGCAUUUUUUAUCUUAAGGGGUCUUCAAUACCUCUAGCCCAAAACAGUAUCUCCAUCAGGAUUCUUCUCUGAUAGUGUUCAUUUCUUUUUUCUCAAUGGAUGCCUUAAAAAAAAAAUCCUACAAGGAAACCUGUACUCCUCAAAUACACCACUCAGGUGACCAUUAAAUCAUUUACAUUGUUAA